AGAGCGUGGAUCUUUGACGAACUGAAGAAGUGUGCUGGAGAAGGCGGACGGGAAGUGCCGCAGUGGCUGGUGGAACUGACCGACAAGAAACUGAAGAACAAGAUUGAGUAUUUGAAGGCCACCGGGAAAAGAUUACUCCUGAAGCAUGUUCGACCUCUGCUGAAGCAGAAGAAGCCUCAGACGGGAUCCGCUGCCGAUUCCGAUGACGAUGACGCCAGUCCAGCAGAGCACAUUGACUGGAAUCAUGUUCAUGAUGUUGCAAAGUGGCCCCAUCUUCAGCUCUUCUAUGAGCUGUUUGCUGACCACCCGACUCUGGGAUUCAGUUUUUCCGUAGACACUAGUCCGGAGUCGUCUGCAGUUGUCGUGGAGGUGGCAGCGACACAAGUGCCAUUGGAACCUGCAUUGGCAGCGACAGCAGUAACACCACCUGUAG